rnacentral:tmRNA from 1 species
GGGGGCGUCCUGGUUUCGACAGGAUAAUGUUUAGUUAGUAAUUCAGUCCGUUGGUAGGGUAACUACUACAAACAAUAAGUGGAAACACUAAUUACGCUUACGCUGCCUAAAGGCAAAUAGAUGCUGGCAGUCAACUUUUAUAGGUUCACAUAUAGCUAAUAUUAGUUGCAAAUCAUAUAUGUACACUUACUUAAUUGAUCGUUUAAGUAUUUUAUUUUUGAUCUUAGAAUAAUAUUAUUUUGUUGGUUUAAUGAUAUUAUUUGAAACAACUAAACUAAAUAAACUGUAAAUUUACUUUCAAGGGACUUAUUUUGGACAGGAGUUCGAUUCUCCUCGCCUCCACCA